UACGUAGGGGGCUAGCGUUGUCCGGAAUUAUUGGGCGUAAAGAGCUCGUAGGCGGUGUGUCGCGUCGGCCGUGAAAACCUGCAGCUUAACUGUGGGCGUGCGGUCGAUACGGGCAUCACUGGAGUUCGGCAGGGGAGACUGGAAUUCCUGGUGUAGCGGUGAAAUGCGCAGAUAUCAGGAGGAACACCGGUGGCGAAGGCGGGUCUCUGGGCCGAUACUGACGCUGAGGCACGAAAGCGUGGGUAGCAAACAGG
rnacentral:rRNA from 1 species